rnacentral:rRNA from 1 species
GACGAGACGUGCUCGGGUGCGACGUGUGGACGGCGCACUUCUGGCAGGCGAGCGUCAGCGUCGGUCGUCGACGAGCGAUAAGGUCGCAAGCAAGGUAGACGUGCCUUCGGGCGCGUUGUUAAUAAGACUCGCGUUCGUAUAGCUCGACGGCGACCGUGGCUUCUUCUCGACGACGCGUGCCUGGCUGGCGACUCGCGCGUUCGGUCCGGCAUGUCGACUACGGCGGACGGCACGCCUGUGCGCUCGAACUGCUGCCGGUCGCUCGCACGAUGCUCGCACACAACGCGUCGAAGAUGCUGACGACCAUACGGCUCCAUCCGACCCGUCUUGAAACACGGACCAAGGAGUCUAACAUGUGCGCGAGUCUCCGGGUGAUCGAAACCCGUGGGCGCAAUGAAAGUAAAGAUCGUCCUAGACGAUUGAGGUGAGAAGCGCGCUCCCCGGGGCGCGCUGCAUCAUCGACCGACCUAUUCUGCUCUCAGAAAGGUUUGAGUAAGAGCGUAUCUGUUGGGACCCGAAAGAUGGUGAACUAUGCCUGAAUAGGGUGAAGCCAGCGGAAACACUG